UACGGAGGGUGCGAGCGUUAUCCGGAAUUACUGGGCGUAAAGAGCUCGUAGGUGGUUUGUCGCGUUGUUCGUGAAAACUCACAGCUCAACUGUGGGCGUGCGGGCGAUACGGGCAGACUGGAGUACUGCAGGGGAGACUGGAAUUCCUGGUGUAGCGGUGGAAUGCGCAGAUAUCAGGAGGAACACCGGUGGCGAAGGCGGGUCUCUGGGCAGUAACUGACGCUGAGGAGCGAAAGCGUGGGGGAGCGAACAGG
rnacentral:rRNA from 1 species